rnacentral:pre_miRNA from 1 species
GUACAAAUCACUUGGGGAUUCUGUUAAAAUUUAGGUUCUGAUUCAGCAGAUCGGGGUAGAAUCUAAGAAUCUGCAUUUCUAACAAGCUCCCAGGUGAUGCUCAG